rnacentral:rRNA from 1 species
UUACGGCCAUAUCACGUUGAAACACCGGUUCUCGUACGAUCACCGAAGUUAAGCAACGUCGAGCCUGGUCAGUACCUAGAUGGGUGACCACUUAGGAAUUCCAGGUACUGUAAG